rnacentral:rRNA from 1 species
UACAUGGGGUGCAAACGUUGCUCGGAAUUAUUGGGCGUAAAGCGCACGUAGGCGGUUCGUUAAGUCGGAUGUGAAAGCCCUCGGCUCAACUGAGGAAGUGCACCCGAAACUGGCGAGCUUGAGUACGAAAGAGGAUCGCGGAAUUCCCGGUGUAGAGGUGAAAUUCGUAGAUAUCAGGAGGAACACCGGUGGCGAAGGCGGUUCUCUGGGCAUGUCCUGACGCUGAGGAGCGAAAGUGUGGGGAGCGAACAGG